rnacentral:lncRNA from 10 species
AAUCACCAGCUCAGAGGCCUUAGGCACCAAGUUGCUAGGACAAAGGCUAAAAUAUACCUGGAGGGGAAGUAUACGGAUGUGUCAAGAAGUCUUCAGGUAAGCAAGUAUCUUCUAUUGUCCUUAGAAUAAAAUGGGACAUUUGGACAUUGCUCUUACAGUGGGUUCCCUCCAGCACCUGUUCACCUGACCACCAUAAAAUGGAGCAGUUUAGAGACUUCCAGCGCUCACAUUGUCUCACAGGCCAGCAAGUUCAUUGCAGAUGACGUGUGGGAAAUUCAGUUGCCCCUGCCUCGACAAAUGGGAAGACAAAGCUGCCUGUCCAGAAUGAUCAAGUAAACCAGGGAAGUUGGGUCGGACGUGGGCCACCCUGCUCUACCGUGUGCCGGCACCAGGAUCUCCCUCCCAGCGGAGAGUUAAGAAGAGGAACACUGAACUUGUAGAGAAACGCUAAAGCUAAUAUUCCUGCAGCAACUCCUCAGGCACAUUGCAUGCUGUGCAUAUUAAGGUACCCAUUAAAGUCUUGCUAGUAAUUGAAAAAAUUAUCUAUGUGCAAUGAGAAUGAGUUAAUGCAACAGAGGAACCUUACUUUUGCAUCUCCUGACUUUUUACUUUUAAAAGGUACCUGAACCUUGCGCUUCUGUGGGGUUCUUUACAUUUCCUAUGUAGGUGUAAAGUCAUACUUGAGAUAUAAUUCCAUUCACCAUGCAAGCAACUUCAUA